AAGAAGAGGAGUGACUGUGAUCAGGCUGGAGACUAAAACAAAGCCAUAUGCUAGAUUUAGGGUAUAUUUUGAUCUAUCAAAAGAAAUUGUAUCCCAAAAUUCAAAAAACUUCUCUUUGAAAUACACUGUUUAUGGGGAUAAAAAGACAAACAAGAUCCUGGGAGAAAAUAUUGCAAAUCAUAUAUCCAAUAAAGUGCUUGUAUCCGAAAUAUAUAGAGAACUCCCCAAUUCAACAGUUAGAAAACAUACAGCCAGGAAAAAAUGGGCAAAAGACUUGAACAGACACUUCACCAAAAAAGAUUCAUAGAAGGCCAAUAAGUACAGGAAAAGUACUCAGCUUCAUUAGGGAAAUGCAAACUAAAACCACAGUGAGGUACACUGGGUACACUGGGUACAUGGGACAUUCCAGGUACAUGUACAGGUACAUGGAACAUUCCAUCCCAAAACAACAGAAUACAUUUUCUUUUCUAGGGCACAUGGAACAUUCUCCAUUUUUACAUGGCUAAAUUGAAAAGAUUGCAUUAUGAGUGUCAAGAAAAUGGAGGAACUGGCACUCCAUCUGUCAGAAUCUAAAAUGGUGUAGUCAUUUUGAAAAAACAUGGUCUCUUUCAUGACAUGGCCAUUUCUGUUUCAAGUAGCUGUUUUUAGACUCAAGAGAAAUGAAGAUACAUGUCCGCACAAAGGCUUACACCUAAAUGUUCAGAGUAACUUUGCUUGUAAUGGCCGCUAACGGGAAACACCUAGCUGCCUAUCAGCAGGCAAACUGAUAAACAGGCUGCAGGACCAUCCGGCUGAUGGAAUACUACUCAGCGGUGAAAAGGAAUGAGCCAGUGCUACAUGCUCCUGUAUCAGUGAAUCUCAGGGUGAUUAUAUGCUGAAUGGAAGAAGCGAAGCAACGGAGAUUACGUGUUGGAGGAAUCCAGUAACAUACACUCCUAGACAGCGUGUACUUGGGUGGAGUGAUAGGUAGGGAAGGGUUGUGGGGGAUGAGCGAGAGAUUACAGAGCGGUGUGAGGGAACUUCCCGGGGUGGCAAUGGAUAGUGUUUGUGGCCUUGGCUAUGGUGAUGGUUUCAGGGUUGUAUACAUAUGUCAGAACCGAUGAACUCGUGCUGUUUAAAUGGGCACAGUUCAUUGUAUGUCAGUUACAGCUCACCAAAGCUGUUUUUUUAGAAAAUCUGAAUUUAGAGCCACUUUGCUGCUUCGGAGCUGUAUAACCUUGUUGCAAAGCAGGGCUGGAGAUACCUGGCACCCGGGGUUGUUUGUGAAGAUUACAAACAUAACGUGUGGAAUGUGCUUAAAGCCUGUAUGUGCCCAAGAUGGUGACAUGUAGGGGUAAUCAGGUUCACACAGUAGAUCUCAUUCUCUAGGUCCGGUGGGGCCCUGCGUCAUCUGUGUGGGCCUCUGAGA